rnacentral:lncRNA from 1 species
CGGGGAGCCGCGGCACGCCCGUCUGCGCCCUGCGCCCUCCCCCGGGGCGCUGGAUGGGGCGAGCGCAACUUCAGCCGCCGCGGCCGCUUUCAGCCCUCUCCUCCCCGCUCUCCCCCCGUCUGCGUCGCCUCCCCUUCUCGUGUGAGAAGCGCGAAGUUGCGUUGAGACGGUACCUCGGCUGGAGCGCGAGCCUAACGAGCCCAUUAAAUAUGAUCAACGUACCGUCUGCACGGAAUGAAACCUUUCCCAGUCCUGAUUGCUCCAAAGAGGAAUCACGUCCUACCUCCCACCUUCCCAACCUUCGUUCUCCCGGCGGACACACGCGUGUAAUUACUGGCGACUGUGCAAACGCAGCCCUCAGCAAAAGCAUGCCGAUCACCAGGUGAUCUGGAAAUAAAUGAUGGAUCGCUUUGCGGACGGGCGAGGGGAGAGGACGACUCGUUAGUGCUGAUGCUAAGCGAGGAGUAACGCUGCCUGAGAGCACUCUGCCGCGGUUUGCUUUCUUACUUAACUCUCUGCCUUCACUGAGGACCGCUCCGCUCGGGGGGGGGGGGGGGGGGGGGGGGGAAGAAGCAUAAACCCAAAGCCGGGCCUGCCGAGCGCGGGGUUCCCCUCCUCCAGGAAAGCAGAGCUUCGGGGCGCGAUCGUUAACUUCUGCGAUCAUCAUUGGGUUUCUUGGCAAGGAGGCUGAGCGGGCUUCUUUUUUCUUAACCUCCUGUGUUGUUUUUUGUUUGCUCAGAUGACAUUCCCUGCUCCGAUGCCCUCCCCCCCCCCCCCCCCAUCCCCCCCCCAUCCCCCGCCCGGACAGCGCUCGCACACAGACACACACACACACACACACACACACACACGCGCACACCCCUUCUCCUUUCAUCAUCAGCAAAUAAAGAUUAGGUGGGCAGAUUAUAGAAAGCGUUUUCAGUCCUGUGCUGAUCUUUAUUCCGGAGCCUUUGUGAUGAUAUUGAUGAUGAUGAUGGUCAAGUGGACAGUUUGAUUUUUGUGUUUGGAGCUAGUUAUAAAGAAUCAAUAUUAUAUCAAGGGGUAACUUUCGUGAUAAAGGACUUUAACCACUCCGGCUAUUCAUCAUAAGUCUGUAGCAAGCAGAUAGGUCAAAAGAAAUUAUAUUGCACUAAAGAGUGUGUCUUCUUAUCUCUCCUAUACCAGGGGAAUAAGGGACAAGCCGAUCGAUACAGGAGCUGCUGUAUACUUCUUGCAAUUAUCAAUAGCUGAUUUCGUCUUUUGAGGCCUGAAUCUAUUAAUACAAACCAAUAAUAAUCUUCUGAGCAUAUCAGUAGCCAAGGGGACGAAAGUUUUUAUACUUGACAGCACUAUUUAUAGAGCUAAAGUUACCGAGCACUGUCGUAUUGCGUGUGCUUCCCCGUGCUAUGCAUAUACAGACAUAUACCUUUCCAUAUACACCUCUCCGGUCAUUUGGGGCAGAAUACAGCCUUUUGCAAAGGGGCUACCUAGAUUGAGUUUGAAUGUAAGCUGUACCCACGUGUACCUCCUGCAGCGUGUGCAGACCUUCCUCACGACAGAAAUACAGCAUUUGAAUGUGUGCACCACCUAUACGUGUGCGCAUCUGUAGGGUGGCGUGCAUCUAUAGGUGUCUCCAACACGUGUGGCUGCUCUUAAAUGAGUGCUGCCCUGAUAAUAUCCCCAUAGCUGUGCGUAU